rnacentral:rRNA from 1 species
AGGGCACCACCAGGAGUGGAGCCUGCGGCUUAAUUUGACUCAACACGGGAAAACUCACCCGGCCCGGACACUGGAAGGAUUGACAGAUUGAGAGCUCUUUCUUGAUUCAGUGGGUGGUGGUGCAUGGCCGUUCUUAGUUGGUGGAGUGAUUUGUCUGGUUAAUUCCGAUAACGAACGAGACUCUAGCCUACUAAAUAGAUCGUCGGCUUACAAACGCCGGCGAGACUUCUUAGAGGGACAGGCGGUGAUUCAACCGCACGAAACAGAGCAAUAACAGGUCUGUGAUGCCCUUAGAUGUCCGGGGCCGCACGCGCGCUACACUGAAGUGAUCAGCGUGCUUUUUCAACCUACUCAGUCAAGAGUGGGGAACCCAAUGAACCUUCUUCGUGAUUGGGAUAGGGGAUUGUAAUUAUUCCCCUUGAACGAGGAAUUCCCAGUAAGCGCGAGUCAUAAGCUCGCGUUGAUUACGUCCCUGCCCUUUGUACACACCGCCCGUCGCUACUACCGAUUGAAUGUUUU